AUAACGGUCCUAAGGUAGCGAAAUUCCUUGUCGGGUAAGUUCCGACCCGCACGAAUGGUGUAACGAUCUGGGCACUGUCUCAACUACCCACCCGGCGAAAUUGUAGUACCGGUGAAGAUGCCGGUUACCUGCGGCAAGACGGAAAGACCCCAUGGAGCUUUACUGUAGCCUGAUAUUGGGUUUCGGAAAUCUAUGUACAGGAUAGGCGGGAGACUGGGAAGUAUGAGCGUCAGCUUAUACGGAGUCAUUGUUGGGAUACCGCCCUUAGGUUUCUGGAAUUCUAACCUGCGACCGUGAAUCCGGUCGGGGGACAUUGUCAGGUGGGCAGUUUGACUGGGGCGGUCGCCUCCGAAAAGGUAACGGAGGCGCUCAAAGGUUGGCUCAGCACGGACGGAAACCGUGCCUCAGAGUGUAAACGCAAAAGCCAGCCUAACUGCGAGGAUGACGGUCCGAGCAGUAACGAAAGUUGGAGUUAGUGAUCCGGCGGUAUGUGAAUGGAAAUGCCGUCGCUCAACGGAUAAAAGCUACCCUGGGGAUAACAGGCUGAUCUCCCCCAAGAGUCCACAUCGACGGGGAGGUUUGGCACCUCGAUGUCGGCUCAUCACAUCCUGGGGCUGUAUUCGGUCCCAAGGGUUCGGCUGUUCGCCGAUUAAAGUGGUACGCGAGCUGGGUUCAGAACGUCGCGAGACAGUUCGGUCCCUAUCUGUCGUGGGCGCAGGAUAUUUGAGGAGCUCUGUCCUUAGUACGAGAGGACCGGGAUGGACGUACCUCUGGUGCACCAGUUGUCAUGCCAAUGGCACGGCUGGGCAGCUACGUACGGAACGGAUAAACGCUGAAAGCAUCUAAGCGUGAAGCCGACUCCAAGAUUAGAUAUCCCAUUGCAUAAGCAAGUAAGACCCCUUGAGGACUACGAGGUUGAUAGGCUGCGUGUGUAAGUGUCGUGAGGCAUUUAGCUUGGCAGUACUAAUAGGUCGAGGGCUUGACCAC
rnacentral:rRNA from 2 species